CGGCCACAGCUCCUCCCCGCGCCCUCCUUCCGCUUCCAUGGACGCGGGAGUCCCCGCCCUCUCGCCUCCCUCCUCGGGCCGUCGGCCUCGGCUCGCCCGGCGGUUUAAAUCCUCUGCUCCCCACCCGCCACGCGCCCUGAAAACCUCCGCCUCGGCUCCCUUCUGCUUUCCUUCCUGCAAACAAACCCUCGUUUGCUUUAGAGGAGAAUCUGCUGUGCAGAGCUCGUACUUAGAGACGGCACCUCCUGGGGCACGUGUGUCGCCAUUCAUUCACCCAAGUCACAUUUAUUAAGCACCUGCUGAGUGCCAGGUGCUGCCUCGCACAGAGAACACCAAAACGCCUGGGCAUUGCCCCUCCCAAGUACGACACAUCGUAGGAUGGGAGAUAGAUUUGUAAACAGAUAUUUGUAUAGGUGUAAUUGUUGCUGCAAUGGAUAUAGGUACCAAAUGUGGGAGACUUAAAAGCGUGUGUCUGGGGAGAGUCAGGAAAGACUUCAUAGAGAAAUGCGCAAACGAGAUGACUGAUGCGUGGGAGUGUGCCUGCAGGUGGAAAAAGUCUAACAUUCUAGGUGGAGUGUGUUGCCCGUACAUAAGUACCAACGUGCGAUACAGCAUUGAGGGCACAGGAAUCUGUGGGACCCAUCCCAGAGCCCUGGUAGAGUGCGAGUCGCCACAGAGGCGAAAACCAAGGGCCUUGCUUAUGGAUGGUAACGAUCGCAUGGUCUGGUGGGGAGACCAAGGCAUACACAGGAUUUGGAAUGCCCUGACAGAUAAUUAUGGAAAUGUGAUGCCUGUAGACUGGAAGUCAUCCCACACUAGGACCUUGCACUUGCUUACUCUGAACCUCUCAGAAAAAGGGGUAAGUGACAGUUUGCUCUUUGAUGCGUCAGAUGACGAGGAGCUGAGAGAGCAGCUGGAUAUGCACUCAAUCAUUGUCUCCUGUGUGAAUGAUGAACCCCUCUUCACAGCAGACCAGGUUAUUGAAGAAAUUGAAGAAAUGAUGCAGGAAUCACCGGACCCAGAAGAUGAUGAAACCCCUACACAGUCAGAUCGGCUUUCAAUGCUUUCCCAGGAAAUUCAAACUCUUAAGAGGUCUAGUACCAGCAGUUAUGAAGAGAGAGUAAAAAGGCUCUCAGUGUCUGAGUUAAAUGAACUCCUGGAAGAGAUUGAGACUGCCAUUAAGGAGUACUCGGAGGAGCUGGUGCAGCAGUUGGCCUUACGAGAUGAACUGGAGUUUGAAAAGGAAGUGAAAAACAGCUUUAUUUCUGUUCUUAUUGAAGUGCAAAACAAACAGAAAGAGCACAAAGAAACAGCAAAAAAGAAAAAGAAACUAAAAAAUGGCAGCUCUCAAAAUGGGAAGAAUGAGAGAAGUCAUAUGCCUGGCACACGCUUCAGCAUGGAAGGGAUCUCAAAUGUCAUUCAGAAUGGCCUCCGCCACACCUUUGGAAAUUCAGGUGGAGAGAAACAGUAUUUGACUACAGUCAUUCCUUAUGAGAAAAAAAAUGGACCACCAUCUGUUGAAGAUCUUCAAAUAUUAACAAAAAUUCUUCGUGCCAUGAAGGAUGACAGUGAAAAAGUUCCAAGCUUGUUAACUGAUUAUAUUCUGAAAGGACUGUAAUUGUGAACCUACCUAUACCGCAUGCCUUAGGGAAGCAGCACCCAUCUAAUUCUGCUCCUCAUGCUCGGGCCGCUGGCUCCUGUCUUUCUGUGUCCUACAUAAAGCAGCAUUACUUCAGGAGCAGCAACUUUAUCUGCGGUGGGACUCCGAGCUAGAUUUCCUACAGCAUUAUUCUGAAAGCUGGCCACCAUUACCUUCUUGCUAUUGGAAACUCAGCACAUUUGAACUUCGGUUUGAUUCAGUAUUAACAGAUCUUGGCUUCACUAAUUCUUUAUAUUAUAGAACCGAUGGAAAUAUGGGCACUAUUUUGAAUUCUAGAGAUGGUUUUAAAGUCAACUAAUAAUUAUGAACUGUUCUUAGUACAGAGAGUAGUAUUAAUUGUGCAUGUGCAGUUAUAUUUCUCAUUAACUGACAGUAUGCCAGUUUGUUUUUACGGCUUUCUAAUCUACACUGCACUGAUGAACUAGAUUAAAGCCUUGGGAGAUUUAUGCUACAAAUUCAGUGAUAGCAAGAACCAGCACUGAUUUUUGUGAGAAUUGUCAGUAUAAAUAUUACCUACCAGUAUUGUUCAGAGAGACUGAAAUAAACUUGGGCUGUUCUUGAAGAGGCAAAACCAGAAUAUGCAUUACAGUGGCUUAAUACUUAGUGAACACUGAAACUGUUGGUGAUGAUUGGAUUUUAUAGCUUGCUGCUUGUUUCACCUUUGGUAAAAUUUUAACCGUUAAAUUGCCACUUUUAGAAUCUUGUGUUAACUUUUGAGAUGUUCCAAUGUUCUGCUUCAUAUGUCUGUGAAUUGUACUUGGAUAGUUUGUAUCCUCUGAGGUGCUUAAAGUGUAUCCUGCAGAACUGCCCAUUCCCAUGACGGUCAAAUUUUAUUCAUGCCUGUGUGUUUUUCUUAAGUAUGAAUUCUAGAAACAGCUACUUACGGGUUCAAUAUCAUAAGCGCUUUUGCCAGUUCCAAUCAAAUCAAUGGCAUUUAAUAAAUUUUUUAAAAAGUAAAAA